AUUGAACGCUGGCGGCAUGCCUUACACAUGCAAGUCGAACGGUAACGCGGGGCAACCUGGCGACGAGUGGCGAACGGGUGAGUAAUGUAUCGGAACGUGCCCAGUAGUGGGGGAUAGCCCGGCGAAAGCCGGAUUAAUACCGCAUACGACCUACGGGUGAAAGGGGGGGAUCGCAAGACCUCUCGCUAUUGGAGCGGCCGAUAUCAGAUUAGGUAGUUGGUGGGGUAAAGGCCCACCAAGCCAACGAUCUGUAGCUGGUCUGAGAGGACGACCAGCCACACUGGGACUGAGACACGGCCAAGACUCCUACGGGGGGCAGCAGUGGGGAAUUUUGGACAAUGGGCGAAAGCCUGAUACAGCCAUGCCGCGUGCGGGAAGAAGGCCUUCGGGUUGUAAACCGCUUUUGUCAGGGAAGAAAUCCUUUGAGCUAAUACCUCGGGGGGAUGACGGUACCUGAAGAAUAAGCACCGGCUAACUACGUGCCAGCCGCCGCCGUAAAAC
rnacentral:rRNA from 1 species